rnacentral:rRNA from 1 species
GACGAACGCAGGCGGCGUGCUUAACACAUGCAAGUGGAGCGACGAACCCUUCGGGGGGCAAAGCCGCGAACGGGUGAGUAACACGUGGGUAACCUGCCCCGAUGACUGGGACAACCCGGGGAAACCCGGGCUAAUACCGGAUGAUGUGCACACACUUAAGUGUGUUCACUAAAGGUAGCUUCGGCUUCCGCAUUGGUAGGGGCCCGCGGCCCAUUAACUUGUUGGUGAGGUAACGGCUCACCAAGGCAACGAUGGGUAGCUGGUCUGAGAGGACGAUCAGCCACACUGGGACUGAGACACGGCCCAGACUCCUACGGGAGGCGGCAGUGGGGAAUCUUGCGCAAUGCGCGAAAGCGUGACGCAGCAACGCCGCGUGAGGGAAGACGGCCUUCGGGUUGUAAACCUCUUUCAGUAGGGACGAAGGCCGGCCGGUGAAUAGCCGUGUCGGUUGACGGUACCUUCAGAAGAAGCUCCGGCUAACUACGUGCCAGCAGCCGCGGUAA